UGGUGCUUCAAAGCCUCAAAGCCUCAUUUUUUAAAAGCCACCACUUCUUUGAAGGUUUCUCUCUUUCGUCCUCUUUUGAAAGUGUUUCCUUCCUUUUCUGAACUUUCGUGUUAUUUUACUGAAACAUGCUACCCACUCUGUUGUGGCAUAGCCAUUUUUAUCCAGCCAUUAUCUUUGCUAGGUUACAAAUGACCUAAGAGUGGGUCUUGUUUAACUUUGGAGUUACUCAGCCAACAGUAGAAUGGUGAGUAUACAACUAGUUGCACUCAGAAAUAAUACUAAAUCAUCUCAGGGUUUGCAAAUAUGUAUGCGGUCAUAUUAAAAAUAAUUCUUUAUUCUACUUGCAGAACAGCUUCUAUUAGGUAAACAGGGUUUAAAAAUUAAAUCACCUGAACUUCUUGCCAAAAAUUCUCCAUAGGUUACUCCACGUCAACUCUAAAGACUUAUGUUUUAAAUUGUUGCUAUGUAAUGAUCCUAGCCUUGCUGACAAUCUUCUUACCAGGUACAAACGGGAAACAGAAACAGAAGCUGAAAUAUGACCUAUGUGCAUAAUCACUCAAUUAAAUAGAAUAAAACUAUUGGCUUCAAUAUUGAGUAACAAUGUAUUGACUUGUUGGCUUAAUUUGUGUAAAGAUUGAAUUUGUAUAAAUAGCCAAAGCCAUGCCCUUGUUUGUAGACGUUGCUAAGGGCAAAUGGGGAGCUGGUCUAAAUAUGAACAUCUUCAAGACUUUUGUUUUCACACAUGAAAACAGAAAUUCAGAUUUUAAUUAACCCAGUGAAUUUGCCUGAAAAUAUGCUUCCUGGAACACAGCUAAGUCGUGCUUAUGAUAAAGAUGUGGCUGGAAAGGGAGAUGUCUGCCGUUUUCUGAAUAAAACAAAAGAUUUUGUCAUCGAUGCAAGUUCUGGUGUCAUCACUGCUACCAAAAUUUUUAAUUAUGAAACAGAUCCAAUAAGGUUUCUUCUGAUAGUUGAUACUAGGCUGUCUAGACAUGUUUUGACCAUUAAUAUUAUUGAUGUUCCUGAAUCUCCAAACUGUACUGCUGAUCCCAAAUUUUCUUCAGGUACAGCUACCUUAGAAAUUGAUGAGAACUAUCCAUUAUUUCAGUUCAUUUAUAGAGUGACGGCCACAGAUGAGGACUUCGCAAAUGGUGAUUGGCUGAAUUACACCAUUGAGACACAGUUAUCUGGACCAAAGAAAGGAGCAAACUCUUUUGGAGUGGAUCCUGUAAGUGGUGUUGUUAGUGUAAGAGGUGAAGAUCCCCUGGAUUUUGAUGCUGGAUAUCAUGUAAUUAAAAUGUGUAUUUAUUUUUCCAUGCAGAAUGAAACAGGAUUUGUAUCACUUUGA
rnacentral:lncRNA from 1 species